rnacentral:tRNA from 1 species
GCGCGAGUGGUUUAGUGGCUAUAACGACACGCUCACACCGUGUAGGUCGGGGGUUCAAACAUUUCCCUCCUCGCGCA